GGCCACGAAAACGUCCUUGCAGUUUUAGUCCGAAAUGGUGCUGAUGUUAACAUUCAAUCUAACAACGGCAAAUCACCAUUGCAUGCCGCUAUGAAUAAAGGUUUUGAAAAGAUUGUGGAGAUUUUAAUGCUGAACGGAGCCAAUGCUGGUUUAAAAAAUAACGAUAAUGAAACACCACUAGACAUCGCUAAUAGAAAAGGAUAUGAUAAAAUCAUUGAUAUCCUGAGAACAGUUCGUCAAACAUUUCGACCAUCACAAAGAGGUUUAGUAAUUCUCCAAAAGA